AAAAUUUUGAUAAAUAGAUUAACAAUAGUUACUGUUAUUCUUCUUCACUCAUCAGCAACGGAGAAUUGCUUAAAAACCGGUGAAGCAACAUCAUGCUGUGCUGACUAUCAUGUUCUGGACGGAAAAUGUGUUCCAUGUCCAUCCGGGACCUUUGGACCAGACUGUAAGUACAUCUGUACCUACCCUGAUUACGGACGGCGAUGUCUUGACGGGAAAUGUCAGUGUCCAAAAGAAUACUGUGAUCCCUCAGAAGGCUGCAAGGAUUACUCGAUCAUUCCUAAAUCCAAUACCCAUUCGAUUCUUCUGCUAUCUCCAUCCAUCAUCCCAAAUCUCAGAACUCAAUAUCAAAGUAACAACAAUAAAAAUUUAAGCAAUCAAGUGAAAGAAGACUUAGUCAACACCACAGAGUCCAGAAUUUGUAUGCAAAAAAUAUAAGAAUUUACUAAACUUUAUACUUAAUUUUCUUAAGCACACUCUUAGCUGAAUAACAUGCCUAUUUUCUUCUACAAUAAAUGUAAACAUAAGGGUUCUUGAUUCUUAGCUAAGCAUAUAGCAAUAAGUAUGUAUAAUAUGUUAAUGAUUAAUAGAGCUACUUCCGCUUUUACUUUCGCUCAAUCAAAAGGGCAAUAUAACACAUAUAAAUAUGUAAGAUGCACUUAAGUUCCAACUAAACAGUAUUUUAUUGCAAUAUAAUAAAUCAAGGUAUUUGAGAAAAUUCCGAAAUGAUUGAGAAAAAUAAAUUUUAUAACCCUGUUUUAAUUCUCGUGUCACCAUUGAUAACGUGUGCAACUCUAUCGUUAAUUCGAUCUACAUCAAAGAAUAACAUAAUAUUUGGAAAACAGAUGCGUGCAUCUGAUUCUCUUUUCACUUUAUAUAUUGAUUGAUUAUAGUUGGAAUAUUUCAGCCAUAUUUCGGCGAUACGCUCCAACUUUAAAGUAGCGACAUGGCAUAAAGCUACUUAUGCUGUUAUUGAACCUCAUUUAUGCAGUAGGAUCUAUUGGGUAUUCGCAAGCGUAAUAUCCAGUCUAUAUCGGACAUUAACAACUUUAACUUUGAUUUUCGUUCAAUUCUAAUAAACUCGUCUGGGUGCAAUAUGCCCCAACCUGGUUUUAAUCCAUACGCAAGACCAGGAUGGACCAAAGAUUAAAAAGAAAAAUUAAUUCAACAUUUUCCUCUACUUAUGGUUAUUUUGGUCAUUUAA